CGUCAGAUGAACGCUGGCGGCAUGCCUUACACAUGCAAGUCGAACGGCAGCACGGGGGCAACCCUGGUGGCGAGUGGCGAACGGGUGAGUAAUACAUCGGAACGUGUCCUGUAGUGGGGGAUAGCCCGGCGAAAGCCGGAUUAAUACCGCAUACGAUCUACGGAAGAAAGCGGGGGAUCUUCGGACCUCGCGCUAUAGGGGCGGCCGAUGGCAGAUUAGCUAGUUGGUGGGGUAAAGGCCUACCAAGGCGACGAUCUGUAGCUGGUCUGAGAGGACGACCAGCCACACUGGGACUGAGACACGGCCCAGACUCCUACGGGAGGCAGCAGUGGGGAAUUUUGGACAAUGGGGGAAACCCUGAUCCAGCAAUGCCGCGUGUGUGAAGAAGGCCUUCGGGUUGUAAAGCACUUUUGUCCGGAAAGAAAACUUCCUGGUUAAUACCUGGGGAGGCUGACGGUACCGGAAGAAUAAGCACCGGCUAACUACGUGCCAGCAGCCGCGGUAAUACGUAGGGUGCGAGCGUUAAUCGGAAUUACUGGGCGUAAAGCGUGCGCAGGCGGUUUGUUAAGACAGAUGUGAAAUCCCCGGGCUUAACCUGGGAACUGCAUUUGUGACUGGCAAGCUAGAGUAUGGCAGAGGGGGGUAGAAUUCCACGUGUAGCAGUGAAAUGCGUAGAGAUGUGGAGGAAUACCGAUGGCGAAGGCAGCCCCCUGGGCCAAUACUGACGCUCAUGCACGAAAGCGUGGGGAGCAAACAGGAUUAGAUACCCUGGUAGUCCACGCCCUAAACGAUGUCAACUAGUUGUUGGGGAUUCAUUUCCUUAGUAACGUAGCUAACGCGUGAAGUGAC
rnacentral:rRNA from 1 species